rnacentral:misc_RNA from 1 species
GAUGAAGAACGUAGCGAAAUGCGAUAAGUAAUGUGAAUUGCAGAAUUCAGUGAAUCAUCGAAUCUUUGAACGCACAUUGCGCCCGCCAGUAUUCUGGCGGGCAUGCCUGUUCGAGCGUCAUUUCAACCCUCAAGCCCCCGGGCUUGGUGUUGGGGAUCGGCGUGCCCUCGCGGCGCGCCGUCCCCUAAAUCUAGUGGCGGUCUCGCUGUAGCUUCCUCUGCGUAGUAGCAACACUCGCACUGGAUCGCAGCGCGGCCACGCCGUUAAACCCCCCACUUCUGAAAGUUUGACCUCGGAUCAGGUAGGAAUACCCGCUGAACUUAAGCAUAUAAUAAGCGGAGGA